rnacentral:rRNA from 1 species
UUACACAUGCAAGUCGAACGGCAGCGAGGAGAAGCUUGCUUCUCUGUCGGCGAGUGGCGAACGGGUGAGUAUAGCAUCGGAACGUGCCAAGUAGUGGGGGAUAACCAAACGAAAGUUUGGCUAAUACCGCGUAAGCUCCAAGGAGGAAAGUAGGGGACCUAAAUAAGGCCUUACGCUAUUUGAUCGGCCGAUGUCGGAUUAGCUAGUUGGUGGGGUAAUGGCUCACCAAGGCAAUGAUCCGUAGCGGGUCUGAGAGGACGAUCCGCCACACUGGGACUGAGACACGGCCCAGACUCCUACGGGAGGCAGCAGUGGGGAAUUUUGGACAAUGGGGGAAACCCUGAUCCAGCCAUGCCGCGUGUACGAAGAAGGCCUUAGGGUUGUAAAGUACUUUUGUUAGGGAAGAAAAGCUAGUUUUUAAUAAAAAUUAGUGAUGACGGUACCUAAAGAAUAAGCACCGGCUAACUACGUGCCAGCAGCCGCGGUAAUACGUAGGGUGCAAGCGUUAAUCGGAAUUAUUGGGCGUAAAGCGAGUGCAGACGGUUACUUAAGCCAGAUGUGAAAUCCCCAAGCUUAACUUGGGACGUGCAUUUGGAACUGGGUGACUAGAGUGUGUCAGAGGGAGGUAGAAUUCCACAUGUAGCGGUGGAAUGCGUAGAGAUGUGGAGGAAUACCGAUGGCGAAGGCAGCCUCCUGGG